AACGAACGCUGGCGGCAGGCUUAACACAUGCAAGUCGAACGCCCCGCAAGGGGAGUGGCAGACGGGUGAGUAACGCGUGGGAAUCUACCCAGAUCUUCGGAACAACUGAGGGAAACUUCAGCUAAUACCGGAUACGCCCUACGGGGGAAAGAUUUAUCGGUUCUGGAUGAGCCCGCGUUGGAUUAGCUAGUUGGUGAGGUAAAGGCUCACCAAGGCGACGAUCGAUAGCUGGUCUGAGAGGAUGAUCAGCCACACUGGGACUGAGACACGGCCCAGACUCCUACGGGAGGCAGCAGUGGGGAAUAUUGGACAAUGGGCGAAAGCCUGAUCCAGCCAUGCCGCGUGAGUGAUGAAGGCCUUAGGGUUGUAAAGCUCCUUCAGUAGGGAAAAUAAUGACGGUACCUACAGAAGAAGCCCCGGCUAACUCCGUGCCAGCCGCCGCCGUAAAAC
rnacentral:rRNA from 1 species